AGCAGCCGCGGUAAUUCCAGCUCCAAUAGCGUAUAUUAAAGUUGUUGCAGUUAAAAAGCUCGUAGUUGAAUUUCGGGGUUAGUAGGUUGGUCAUGCCUCUGGUAUGUACUGGUCUCACUGAUUCCUCCUUCCUGAUGAACCGUAAUGCCAUUAAUUUGGUGUUGCGGGGAAUUUGGACUGUUACUUUGAAAAAAUUAGAGUGUUUAAAGCAAGCUAACGCUUGAAUACAUUAGCAUGGAAUAAUGAAAUAGGGCGCUCGAUCCUAUUUUGUUGGUUUCUAGGAUUGACGUAAUGAUUAAUAGGGAUAGUUGGGGGCAUUAGUAUUCAAUUGUCAGAGGUGAAAUUCUUGGAUUUAUUGAAGACUAACUACUGCGAAAGCAUUUGCCAAGGAUGUUUUCAUUAAUCAAGAACGAAAGUUAGGGGAUCGAAGACGAUCAGAUACCGUCGUAGUCUUAACCAUAAACUAUGCCGACUAGGGAUCGGAUGAUGUUAAUUUUUAAUGACUCAUUCGGCGCCUUAA
rnacentral:rRNA from 1 species